rnacentral:lncRNA from 1 species
AAUAUAUAUCAUUUCGAUAAAAAGAAACAACUGGGACUGAUUCAUUGAAUACCAUGAACCAAUAUAUUUCAUAGACAUGAUAAAGAUUUUUUUUUAACUGGGUAGGUAGGGUAACUGGAACAACACAUAUAUUUUUAUUUGGUCCAAGAGGAAAAUAUAAUUCUGGAACUAUAAAUGAAUAUAGAAAACAUAAACUGAGAAUACUGUUAUCAUGGUUAUAGUUUAAUUGUAUUCUCAGUCA